rnacentral:rRNA from 1 species
GAUGAACGCUAGCUACAGGCUUAACACAUGCAAGUCGAGGGGCAGCAUGAACUUAGCUUGCUUAGUUUGAUGGCGACCGGCGCACGGGUGAGUAACACGUAUCCAACCUGCCGAUGACUCGGGGAUAGCCUUUCGCAAGAAAGAUUAAUACCCGAUGUCAUAGUUCUUCCGCAUGGUAGAACUAUUAAAGAAUUCCGGUCAUCGUUGGGGAUGCGUUCCAUUAGGUUGUUGGCGGGGUAACGGCCCACCAAGCCUUCGAUGGAUAGGGGUUCUGCGAGGAAGGUACCCCAGAUCGGAGCCACGACACAGACCAAACUCCUACGGGAGGCAGCAGUGAGGAAUAUUGGGCACUGGACGAGGGUCUAGACCAGCCAAGUAGGGUGAAGGAGGACUGCGCUAGGGGUUGUAAACUUCUUUUAUACGGGAAUAAAGUAAGGCACGGGUGACUUUUUGUAUGUACCGAAUGAAUAAGGAUCGGCUAACUCCGUG